rnacentral:rRNA from 1 species
UACGUAGGGGGCAAGCGUUGUCCGGAAUCAUUGGGCGUAAAGAGCGUGUAGGCGGCCAGAAAAGUCCGCUGUGAAAACUCGAGGCUCAACUUCGAGCUGUCGGUGGAAACUGGAUGGCUAGAGUCUGGUAGGGGGAUCUGGAAUUCCUGGUGUAGCGGUGAAAUGCGCAGAUAUCAGGAGGAACACCAAUUGCGAAGGCAGCUCGCUGGGACGUUACUGACGCUGAGACGCGAAAGCGUGGGGAGCAAACAGG